UGGUGGUGGCCUUACUUUGAAGUGAGAGAGUUUAAUAAGGAUCGAGACUAGAAUUUCCUAGGCUUCGCUGGAGUCCGAGGAGUUGGAGUUGGUCUUCUCCUCCGACUCCAUUUCCUUCCCAUUGGAAUGCGGCACUAGCUCAAUAGGGCCUACGUAUGUCCAGGGCCGCCCAACAUUAGUCCAGGCCUCACACAGAGUCCCAACUUUUUAGAUCCUCGUAGGUUGGAUGCAAAUUUCUCACCAACUGGCUCUGACCAUAAGACUUCUCUAUUUGUGUUCAUUCUCGAAGUCUAAAGGUUGGUAUAAUCAGUAGUUUCUUUAAGCGGACAAUAAUAGAGCUAAAUUAGUGGUUUGCUUGAUUGGACAAGAGUAGUGCAGUGUUCAGCUACAUAUAGGGAAGUGCACAGAUCAGGUGAACUUUGUGAUCCCACCUGGGUCUCAACCCUAUUAGACCUGAUCCUAUCUGUUAUGGUAGGGUUGUGAAUUGGUUUGGGUCACAAAUUUGAAAUGAUAUUGAAAGAGGUUCGGGUUUGGGUUUUAUAAUUUUCAACUCAAACCCAUCUAACGGUACUAUCUAAUUUGGUUCAACAAAAAAAAAAUGGCCGGC
rnacentral:lncRNA from 1 species